CGUUCUGUCCCCGCGGCCACCAGGUGGCGCCGCAGGCCCACGCACAGCCGGAGGGCAGGGCCGCCGGGCGCCUCUCUCCGGGAGCCGGUGGGGCCGGGGUAGGAGGUGAGGGUCUGCGCCCGGCGAGCGGCUGAGGCGGCCAGAGUCGUCCGGGCGGCUCGGGUGGUGUCCUCGGAGGGGGCGACACGUUUCCUGGUGCGCCCCGGGGGCCGCCGGCGGGGCUGUAGUUGUCGAGAGGGUCCCUCGGGGAGCUCCGUGACCCCCGACCGCUCCAGGCCCGGGUGGCGCAGUGGUUGAGAAUCCGCCUGCCAAUGCAGGGGACAUGGGUUCGAGCCCUGGUCCGGGAAGAUCCCACAUGCCGCGGAGCAACUAGGCCCGUGAGCCACAAUUACUGAGCCUGCGCGUCUGGAGCCUGUGCUCCGCAACAAGAGAGGCCGCGAUAGUGAGAGGCCCGCGCACCGCGAUGAAGAGUGGCCCCCGCUCGCCGCAACUAGAGAAAGCCCUCGCACAGAAACGAAGACCCAACACAGCCAUAAAUAAAUAAAUAAAUAAAAUUUAAUAAUUUCCUUUUUCUUGUUCCCUUUCUGCAGCUAUAACGAAGUUCCUUUCUAUUGCUGGAUGGGAUGUGGCCUGAUUCAUGAAUUGCUUAAUAAAGCCAAUUAGGUUCCCAAAUUUA